GAUGCCACAGGAGGCAGUCAUAGGAACAAUUGGUGAUUAAUCGUACAAUAUUGAUCCCCGGAACCAAGGGUUGCUGGCAGGGCAUUUACACCUUGUGAUGUGGCCCUAAAUUUAAGCAAGAAACAGGCAAAGCAUUUUAUAAGAAGCAUAGAGAGCAGGUUAGCAAACUUAGGCAGGCCUAAACCAAAGUGACUCCAUUUUGUGACUGGGUUCCACAGAAUGACUUGGGCUGAGCUAAGAAAUUUUUUUGCCCGUGCUACCUCUAUCCAUGCUCUGAAGCAGCAUCUGGCAAGUGCAGAGGCUUUCUCUCUACUCAAGCUUCUCUCCACUGUGGUGGGGAAAAUGUAGGUCUCAGGGUGGCCUGACCACAGGUCAGUAACUGAGAACUCAUCUGAUAGCACCUGACAGGUGCAUGGCAAUGUGGUAAUGUGCAAUCCCAUUUCACAGUGGUAAAUCAUUACCUGCACUACAGUAGAGGAUUAUCUCAGUCUGGGAAAUCGCUGGCAACUCUGCACUUGUCCAGAGUGAUUACAAUUUAUGCUUGGCAUUUGGCACAGCAGUUAAAUAAAAAUUUGAAAUAAAUAAAUCUACACAGCCAUAUAAAAGAAUGAAAUCUUGUCUUUUGCAACUAAAUGAAGGUAACUGGAAACCAUUAUGCUUAGUGAGAGUAUUUCACACACUUUCUUUGCUGACUUUGUGAUGUUGCCCUAUACCGAUGUCUGGCACAAAGACUAAAGAAGCAGUCAGGUACUUUGUGGACUUACUAAUAUGUAGACAGGUUUGUCUUGGGAUCAUCACCUUCUACACUUAUUACCUCGUGACUGACUGCUGGCCUUUGU